ACAAAUUAGGUGAGAAAUAUGGCUAGGAAAAUGACCUAUUUUUAUCCACAUGUGCAAAGACACGGGCGUGUGUCUCAACCGUGUGUGACACACAGCCUUGUGUCCCCUGUAUCUUAAAUUGUACAAAACAUAAUGCUCACACGGCCUAGCACAAGGGCAUGUGGCUUGGCCGUGUGACCCAAGUCAAAGAGCUCACAAGUUUUGGCACGGGCUGGGACACAGCUAUGUGUCCCUAUUUUGAAUACCCACACGGCCUGACCACAUAAGCGUGUGUCCCUU
rnacentral:lncRNA from 1 species